rnacentral:rRNA from 1 species
UACGUAAGGGGCAAGCGUUGUCCGGAAUCACUGGGCGUAAAGCGCACGUAGGCGGCUUUGUAAGUUAGAGGUGAAAGCCCGGGGCUCAACCCCGGAAUUGCCUUUAAGACUGCAUCGCUUGAAUCCAGGAGAGGUGAGUGGAAUUCCGAGUGUAGAGGUGAAAUUCGUAGAUAUUCGGAAGAACACCAGUGGCGAAGGCGGCUCACUGGACUGGUAUUGACGCUGAGGUACGAAAGCGUGGGGAGCAAACAGG